rnacentral:rRNA from 1 species
AUUGAACGCUGGCGGCAGGCCUAACACAUGCAAGUCGAGCGGAUGAAGGGAGCUUGCUCCUGGAUUCAGCGGCGGACGGGUGAGUAAUGCCUAGGAAUCUGCCUGGUAGUGGGGGAUAACGUCGGGAAACGGGCGCUAAUACCGCAUACGUCCUGAGGGAGAAAGUGGGGGAUCUUCGGACCUCACGCUAUCAGAUGAGCCUAGGUCGGAUUAGCUAGUGGGUGGGGUAAAGGCCUACCAAGGCGACGAUCCGUAACUGGUCUGAGAGGAUGAUCAGUCACACUGGAACUGAGACACGGUCCAGACUCCUACGGGAGGCAGCAGUGGGGAAUAUUGGACAAUGGGCGAAAGCCUGAUCCAGCCAUGCCGCGUGUGUGAAGAAGGUCUUCGGAUUGUAAAGCACUUUAAGUUGGGAGGAAGGGCAGUAAGUUAAUACCUUGCUGUUUUGACGUUACCAACAGAAUAAGCACCGGCUAACUUCGUG